CAUUACAAAAAGAAAUUUCUUGUUCCAGGAAAAUUAUUGAGAUAUACUAAAUAGUGCAGGCCCUUGACUCCAUUCAAGAGCGGGAGAUGCAUGGAAACUAAGUGGUGAGAUAUGCACCACCCAGAGGUAGAAUAACACUUCUUGGUUGGUCCAACUAUUUUGACGCGAAUUACCUGAAUUUCACUUUGUUCUUCAUGGCAAUGAAUAUGAUUCAUGUUGUCUGUUUAAUAAUUGAACCAUGAUUCUUUCCAUUUAAUGCAAUGGCAUUGCUUAAUUUUCUA